UGGGUCGUAGCCAAGCGGUAAGGCAACAGGUUUUGAUCCUGUCAUCGAAGGUUCGAACCCUUCCGACCCAACCA
rnacentral:tRNA from 1 species